rnacentral:lncRNA from 1 species
CAGCAGGUUGGUAGUCUAUGCCCUGUUCCUUUUUUCCUCAUGACUAAAUGUCCCCAUCAUUGAUGCUACCAAUCCGGUGCUAAAUUGACCAACACUGUGUGUGUUACACUUUGAUGGAUCAGAAGAGAAGGGUUACUUGACUGUGAAGUACUGCUUUUUGCUUGAAUAGCAUUUUCGCUUUAUAUUUUGGGCAGAUGCUCUAUUUCUGUUGGUAAAUUACUUUUUGAAUUUUGUUUUACAAUAUAUCAGGGC